UGGGGAAUUUUGGACAAUGGGGGCAACCCUGAUCCAGCCAUGCCGCGUGAGUGAAGAAGGCCUUCGGGUUGUAAAGCUCUUUCGGUGGGAACGAAACGGUUACGACUAAUACUCGUGACUACUGACGGUACUCACAGAAGAAGCACCGGCUAACUACGUGCCAGCAGCCGCGGUAAUACGUAGGGUGCGAGCGUUAAUCGGAAUUACUGGGCGUAAAGCGUGCGCAGGCGGCGCGUUAAGACAGGUGUGAAAGCCCCGAGCUUAACUUGGGAAUUGCGCUUGUGACUGGCGUGCUGGAGUGUGGCAGAGGGAGGUGGAAUUCCACGUGUAGCAGUGAAAUGCGUAGAGAUGUGGAGGAACACCGAUGGCGAAGGCAGCCUCCUGGGCCAGCACUGACGCUCAUGCACGAAAGCGUGGGGAGCAAACAG
rnacentral:rRNA from 1 species